rnacentral:tRNA from 1 species
GGGGAUUUAGCUGAGUGGUAGAGCGCUUGCCUAGCAAGCACAAGGCCCUGGGUUCGGUCCCCAGCUCCG